UUAUUGCGCUUAUCCCCCGCUAUAAUUAGCUUUUCCUCCAGUUGAUAGCUGAACGUUUCACAUGGAGCAAAAAUAUUUAGAAUGUGCUGUUGCAGUAUAAUGAUGGACCAACAGGGAAGACCAUCUCUUGUUUACGAAAGACACGCGUUAGCCGGAUUCAUUUGCAUAACAUUGACUGUAGCCCAACUUCUCGAUGCGCCGGAACAGCUGCCUUUCUGAGAUGCUUUGCACAACCGUCAACAACGCCUUGACGCUAUUAAUAGGACAUUAGCUGAAUCCGUUACAGGUAGCGGGCGUGCUGGAACAGAAAACAUCCACCGUUACACUUACUGGUAUUGUCUACUGACUUGGUAGUUCUGCAGCAGGAUGAGGCUGAGGUAGAACUCGGAGAAGGCCAGCUGCAGGUCCUUGAUGUUGCGGUGUUUGCAGCGUUCCUGCUGAGACAGAUGGAAGACGGCCUUACGGCGACGACGGAGUCCCUGCAUGCUGCUCUCCCGUUGGGCGUCCAAUGAUGACUGCAGCUCAUUUUGCAGGGUGGCGAAACGGCGCUGGGCCUCUGCCAGCUUUUCUGGGGAGAGAGAAGUUGGGGGGCAGGAAGAGAGAAAGGGGGAGUGGAGACCGGGAGAAGGAAAAGGCCGGGGGAGAGAGAAGACCAGGGGACAGAAUAGAUGCGGGGGACAGAAUAGAAGCGGGGGACAGAAUAGAUACGGGGGACAGAAUAGAUGCGGGGGACAGAAUAGAUGCGGGGGACAGAAUAGAUGCAGGGGACAGAAUAGAUGCAGGGGACAGAAAAAAAGGUGCAGAAAGGAAGGGGGGGAGAAGAGGGGAAUGUUCAUGGGAAGAUGAUCCGAGUUAGGAAGAGGAAGCCUAAUAUUGGUCUCUGGCAGGGAUAUUCACUCCCUCAGAGAAUAAAUGUUUGUCUUUGGACCAGAUGGUAAAUUAUGGGCCAGGGCCAGUGGUGGACAGUGGAGGGGGGUGCGACUGUUUUUGCCAUGUGAAUGUGCUGCUGGUUUAUUGUGAACAGUCAAAGAAAUAGGCGGGCUUAAUAGGGAAACACUGGUUAGAUUGUAUCAGAUGCAUGUUAUACAUGAAUGACAGGCAUGUAAUACAGUUGUAGAAUUUACCAGAGUAGAAUGUGUUGAUUUUGGCAAGCUCCUUCUCGCACGUCUGAAAAAACUUCUCCUCAAACUUGGCGUAGUACCUCUUGACAGUGUCCUCGUCUGUGACUGUGGGAAAAGACAGGGAGAAACCGGAAAAACUGAGAUUAUAUUUAUCUUUUCCAUGUCCAGGAAGUGGAUAUAAAUAAAAAUACAGUAUCAUAAGUGUUUGACGAUGUCUUUUGGAUACUGAGCAGAGGUCUUUUUUCCAGACACAGCCAGUUCCCAGUUCUUUCACAUGUGACAUAUUCCAAUACCAGGAACCGUCUAGUCCACUGACAGCCAACUCAUCAUCAAGAUUUUGGCAAAAAUGUGUCAAGCAUGUGAAAUUACUGGAUCCCUGUGUUGAGAAAGGCUGUCCUAAGAGAUGGAGGACAGAGUUAUUUGAUGCUUGACUGUGAGCCAGGCUUCUGGAGAUAUGUAACACAUUGGUUACUUCAACCUUGCUGGGAUUACUCAACACAUUCAGGUGGCAUGACAUGCUGGAGCUGAAUGGUGGAUAUGACAUUGACAGUGUUUUCCCCUGACAAUGGGAAGGCAGCUGUUCUAGCAUGUACAGAUGCUGAGCUGCAGUGUUCUUUUCGCAUGUAGAAUGGCCAGCCAUGUUGGUGAAAGUUCACAAAAGCACCAGAGGGUGGGAAUGUUUUGAUAGAAGUGAAAAGUAGGUUUCAAGGUUUGAAGUAAGAGUGCUAAUGUUUCAUAGAAGGCUAAUAUUUUCUUACUGAGCACACAGCAGUGGUCAAAAGUUUGAGUGAGACUUAAACAGUUCUAAUGUCUAUGGGAAGAAAAGUAGUUAGGGGCAUUACAAUGCAGUCCUCACUUGUGAUCCUUCUGAAGGCCUGCAGUGUUUGCAGGCUUUUGUCCCAAUCCAGCACAAAACCUUAGAUUCAAGUAAGAAGUCUGGCAGAGUCAUUAAAUUAGUGGCAUUUUCAUUCACCCAAACAAAAUGUUUUCGAUGCGGAAAGUCAAGGCAAAUAAAGCAAUAGGAAGGAACGUACCUACAAUUGCCCAACAGAAACUCUGACAAAUUAAUCAGUUUGACUAAACUAAUGAAACAAUGAAUGUUGAAAUAAAUAUACCCCUGGUGACUAAACAGUGAAAGACUUGCGGAAAACACCUUGCCACGUCGUGGCACUCUAGGUAUAUGAACACCAGUUUUUAAGUAAUGAGCCCUUCGCUUCUGUACUUUUCCUCUUCAGUCAGGCGAUACCCUAGAUGGCCACCAGAAGGAGCAGUUGGUAAGGGCACAGCAGGUCCCUGGAAAUUCCCAGUGUUACAGUAGUAUGUCAACUAUGUCACUAUGGCCAUUGCCAUAGGUAGUCUAGAUAUACCAGUGGCUUCUGACUCAGUGUCUGAGGACUAACUAUGAGUCAGAGCAGCCAGACUGUGUGGUUGGAAGAGAUUGGGUGGCUGAGCUCAUUCCCAGUGUCUACCUUCCCUAUACAUUACAUUAUCAUGCAAGGCCAGGGAAGGAAGCUAUUGCUGUCCUUGAUAACGAUAAAAGUGUCACAAAAAGACAAGAAAAACACAAAUGUUUUAAUUAACAAAUUGUGGAAAUGAUUGGCAUCACUAAAGAUAAUUGAAAAACAAGGAUACUCAAAAACAAAGAUACUGUAUGUCAUGCACAUUAUAGAGAGAAACAAAAGUUACAGAAUGUCCAUAUCUAUUAACAUUGGCUCAUAAUAUUUUAAACUUAAACUGUUCAAAAGUUAAAGCUGCAUUUGAAGAAAACCACUGUAUUCCAACUGUAUGCAGCAGCUACUGGAGGUUACUGACAUAACAGCGGUUCUUGGAACCAAGCUCCAUUCUUUGUUAAAUUGUUAAGUCACAUACACGUGACCCCUAGUUUUAGAAAUGUUGUCCUAGCAUGACUUGCAUUCUUUUUUUUCAACUACUGAAUGAACAUAAUCUCAUGGAUUUGUAGGACCAAAAAAUGCUGAAAUGAUCUAUGGGGAGUUUAUGCUGGGAUUGACUAGAAACAAAUCCAAAGAAACCCAUAUUACACGGGAAAAGGAUUGAUCACACUAGUCUAACUUCAGAUGGAAACAUCUACCUUUCUUCUUUAGGCUGUCUAUCAUAUAGUACAAAUAUGAGCAGUAGAUCAUUCAGACAGGCUAUUUGUUUGCCAAGUUUGUUGAAAUCACAUGGUGAGAUCAGGAGAAAGUUCAUUGUUACAGUCUGAAAUCACUGGAGGCAGAACACAUGAUCGGGAGAAUGAUGGAUGGGUGAAAGGAUGGAUAUAAUUCUGGAUCUGGAGGUGUUUUUCUUGACAAAGUGAAAUCAUAGCCCAUUGACUAUUAUUCAAAUGGAUGAGAAAUUUGAAGAAAGCGUGUUCAAUAUUUCCGACGGCAAACAUAAAUUCACUGAUGUAUUUAAGAUAAUGGCAUCAGUUUUUACAAAGAGUGAACUUUGAUAACAGCCAAAGGUGAACUAUCCAUUAAUGCUAUGUUUAAAAGGGCAAAAAUCUGAGUAUCACAUUUAUUGUAUCUUGAGGUUUCUGGUAAAUCCAUCUCUACUUGAACCACCCAAUAAAAAUAUUUAUCUGGUGUGAUGUUGUUUAGGCAGUUUAACUCUCAGUUUGAUCAAGGUUAUCAAGUGCCCCAGGGUAUGUCAACAGCACUAGCAGUGCCUCCAAGCCAUGGGUGGAUUUGCCAUCUGGCAAUUCUGGCAAAUCCCAGAGACUGGAUCAUUGUUAAUUGGGGUGUGCUCAUCAAAAAAAAGUAGGGGGGACCGGGUUGGUUGUCACAUGGGUUGGUUGUCACAGAGCUCAUUACAGCCAAACUAGGGAGCACUGUGUAAAAUGUUUCUCACCAAAUGUGUGACCUCCCUGUAGGAGGUCAUAUACAGCUCUGGAAAAAAUUAAAAGACCACUGCAAAAUGA